GAAUUUGAUAUAGUUAUUUAUAAGAGUGAUUUUGAAGAGAAUGGGAUAAAUGAUUAUGAUUUAAUUGGGAGGAUUAAUAAAUAUAAUUAACUUUAAAAAUAAAUUAAGUUGUGGAUAAAUAAAUAAAAUUUUUUUGAAUGAUUGUUAAAUUAAAUUAGAAUUAAUUACCUUAGGGAUAACAGCGUAAUAUUUUUGUAAAGAUCUUAUUAAUAAAAGUGUUUGC
rnacentral:rRNA from 1 species